CGAUAAAUAUAAGCCAGAAUCUGAGAAUCACUCUCACAACACGGCAGAAGAACUGUCUCGCCUCUUUCUUCUCUUCUUUCCUUUUCUUCUAAUUUCAUGCUUCCACUUCCGGGACUAACAACAUCUCUCCCAAUUUCUGAACGAAUGGAUUGAGAUCCAAGAUUCAUACGGCUGAUAACAGAUGAUGAAGUUCCCCCCAAUGAAGGACCAAAUCUGAGGGGAUAGAAAAAAAAUCAAGAUUCCACCGGUGAAAUCCUCAAGCAUGUGGGUGGGUUGACUUGAGUUUCUCAAGAAAUGAAUCGUCAAUUGCUUGGGCAACCCUUGUGGUUUUGGACAUUUCUACUCUUGAAGUCGUGCAUCAAGAUUCCUCCAUUAUUAAGG